rnacentral:rRNA from 1 species
GGCGAACGCUGGCGGCGUGCUUAACACAUGCAAGUCGAACGGAAAGGCCCUGCUUUUGUGGGGUGCUCGAGUGGCGAACGGGUGAGUAACACGUGGGUAACCUGCCCUUGACUUUGGGAUAACUUCGGGAAACUGGGGCUAAUACCGGAUAGGAGCUCCUGCUGCAUGGUGGGGGUUGGAAAGUUUCGGCGGUUGGGGAUGGACUCGCGGCUUAUCAGCUUGUUGGUGGGGUAGUGGCUUACCAAGGCUUUGACGGGUAGCCGGCCUGAGAGGGUGACCGGCCACAUUGGGACUGAGAUACGGCCCAGACUCCUACGGGAGGCAGCAGUGGGGAAUAUUGCACAAUGGGCGGAAGCCUGAUGCAGCAACGCCGCGUGCGGGAUGACGGCCUUCGGGUUGUAAACCGCUUUCGCCUGUGACGAAGCGUGAGUGACGGUAAUGGGUAAAGAAGCACCGGCUAACUACGUG